GAUGAACGCUAGCGGCAGGCCUAAUACAUGCAAGUCGAACGGUGUCUUCGGACAUAGUGGCGCACGGGUGCGUAACACGUAUGCAACCUACCUUACAUUGGGGGAUAGCCUUUCGAAAGGGAGAUUAAUACCGCAUAAGACAGUAGCUGGGCAUCCAGUAGCUGUUAAAGAUUUAUCGAUGUAAGCUGGGCAUGCGUCCAAUUAGUUAGUUGGUGAGGUAAUGGCUCACCAAGACGAUGAUUGGUAGGGGAACUGAGAGGUCAAUCCCCCACACUGGCACUGAGAUACGGGCCAGACUCCUACGGGAGGCAGCAGUAGGGAAUAUUGGGCAAUGGACGCAAGUCUGACCCAGCCAUGCCGCGUGCAGGAAGAAGGCGUUCUGCGUUGUAAACUGCUUUUGUAUAGGAAGAAACGACCCUUGCGAGGGGCAUUGACGGUAUUAUAUGAAUAAGCACCGGCUAACUCCGUGCCAGCCGCCGCCGUAACAC
rnacentral:rRNA from 1 species